rnacentral:lncRNA from 1 species
AUGUUUGCAUUGAGCUAAGAUUGCAGGCGCGUGAACUGUUCACACCACCAAAAAUGCAGUAUCUUUAGCCAAAUCUGAAUUAAUCUGUUCAGAAUGAACAAGCAGAAUAGUCUUUGGAUUUGAUCCAAAUCCCUGAAGCACUUUGGGAAUGAGAAUGGCUAUGCCAGACAGAGAGACCCUGGCGACUUAUGAUACUGCAGAACACAACAGGCACUUCAGAUUGGUCCCAGUUAAGUUGAGGGAGAGCAGUGAUAUUGAGCAGUCAGCUAAAGAAACAAAGCUGUAGAGAAUUGUGACUCCAAAGGCAAAGAAGGAAGUGCUCCUAAUUUGAACUAAUCUAAUAGUCACAUGGAGGAUUCUGACUGGCCCAUGUGGGGCCUUGUGCUCAUGUUCUAAGGAAUCAUUGUUGCUUGAAGCAUGGACAACUCUGGCCUGACAUGGUCCCUGGCUCGUACCUGUGACAGGACACUGAGGCAAAAGAAAGCAGUAUAGAGAUUUAUUCUCCCACUGGCAUGAAAGCUGUGAUUCUGACCACCUUCUACAUCACUGUCUACCACCCCUACACCAGCUCUUAGAAGACAGAGUAACUACAGGAUGCUGUGGUACCUGGAGUGAUGCCAGACUGCAGAGGCCACCUGGUGACAUGAGGAGAGAUUCAACUUAACAUGGUGAGGAUGGCAGAGUAGAGCUAAAGUGGAAAAAGCAUUUCCCUGAUGAAUUUAAGAAGCUACUGAAUAAAUAUGUCUGGAAGUACCUAA